UCAGAAGAGCCCAACAGGCUGCUCCUGUCUCACAGCUACCAAAGAUGGAAGGGGAGAUUCCAGAGGGUUCCUCAUGUACCUCAGUGCAUGUCUCUUUGGACCAGAUUUCUCUCUGAAGUUUGACCUUUCAAACUGAGAUACCAAGCUUCUUCAGAAAAGGAAGCCUCAGAGUCUGAAGGACACUGGCCCAGGCUCACAAAAUGUGACCCCCUCCCGCCAGCAUAGGGCUGAGGACCUCCAAUGGGGAAGAAGCUCUCCUUAGAGGCAGCUGGCUCACUGUGUGGAGCAUUUCUUUCCCUUAUUGAAGGAAAACGUGUCUCCUCUUGUUCCUGCCCAGAGGUUCAGCCUUGCCUCCUGGAUUCAGCACCUCUUCUACUGCUAUUAGU